rnacentral:snRNA from 1 species
AGCUUUGUGCAGUGGCAGUAUUAUAGCCCAUGAGGUUAAAACGGAGACGUGAUUAUUGCUAGUAAUUAAUUUUCAUG